UCCGGGUGGGGGUGCCGAACUGCUUCCCUCACUUUCGAUCAGUUGUUGCUCCGCGAGCUAAACGUCGGAUGCGAGAUGUGGGUUCCUGUGUUGCAUACCUAUUGCGACGGAAAUGUGUGCCUUCGGUAGUCCCUUCCAUCACGACGUCCUCUUGGAUGCUCGGUUGGACCGGAUAGUGGGGCUCGUGUUCCACGAACGUCGUCUCAUUCGAUCGUUCGGACGGACCACGAGUGCCUACUCGUUCUCUCGGAUGCGGAACUCUCGCAAUGGGAGUGGGGUCAUUGGCCCUUCUUCCCUAAUCGUUAAGCGUUUAUCGCUUCACCCGAAUGACGAUCUUGCCUUGUCCUUGAUCGCGCGAAGCCCUCGGGCAUCGCGGCGGAUCAUGCUCGGCGGACGUCGUGAAGGAAUGCUACCUGGUUGAUCCUGCCAGUAGUCAUAUGCUUGUCUCAAAGAUUAAGCCAUGCAUGGUAAGUAGACUCG
rnacentral:misc_RNA from 1 species